rnacentral:rRNA from 11 species
CGGCAACGGAUAUCUCGGCUCUCGCAUCGAUGAAGAACGUAGCGAAAUGCGAUACUUGGUGUGAAUUGCAGAAUCCCGUGAACCAUCGAGUCUUUGAACGCAAGUUGCGCCCCAAGCCUUUAGGCCGAGGGCACGUCUGCCUGGGUGUCACGC